rnacentral:rRNA from 1 species
AUUGAACGCUGGCGGCAGGCCUAACACAUGCAAGUCGAGCGAGCGGCGGACGGGUGAGUAAUGUCUGGGAAACUGCCUGAUGGAGAGGGAUACCUACUGGAAACGCUAGCUAAUACCGCAUACCAUCAGAUGUGCCCAGAUGGGAGGAGCUAGUCGGUGGGGUAACUGCUCACCUAGGCGACGAUCCCUAGCUGGUCUGAGAGGAUGACCAGCCACACGGGAACUGAGACACGGUCCAGACUCCUACGUGAGGCAGCAGUGGGGAAUAUUGCACAAUGGGCGCAAGCCUGAUGCAGCCAUGCCGCGUGUGUGAAGAAGGCCGUCGGGUUGUAAAGCACUUUCAGCGGGGAGGCGUUACCCGCAGAAGAAGCACCGGCUAACUCCGGGCCAGCAGCCGCGGUAAUAC